rnacentral:rRNA from 1 species
AUUGAACGCUGGCGGAAUGCUUUACACAUGCAAGUCGAACGGCAGCACGGGGGCAGCCCUGGUGGCGAGUGGCGAACGGGUGAGUAAUACAUCGGAACGUGCCCGGUCGUGGGGGAUAACGUAGCGAAAGUUACGCUAAUACCGCAUACGAUCUGAGGAUGAAAGCGGGGGACCUUCGGGCCUCGCGCGAUCGGAGCGGCCGAUGUCAGAUUGGGUAGUUGGUGGGGUAAAGGCCUACCAAGCCGACGAUCUGUAGCUGGUCUGAGAGGGCGACCAGCCACACUGGGACUGAGACACGGCCCAGACUCCUACGGGAGGCAGCAGUGGGGAAUUUUGGACAAUGGGCGCAAGCCUGAUCCAGCCAUUCCGCGUGCAGGACGAAGGCCUUCGGGUUGUAAACUGCUUUUGUACGGAACGAAAAGGCUCUGGCUAAUACCUGGGGCUCAUGACGGUACCGUAAGAAUAAGCACCGGCUAACUACGUG